rnacentral:ncRNA from 2 species
UUCUUAUCAAGAGAGGCAGAGGGAAUGGCCCUAUGAAGCCUCGGCAACGGAUUCCAAUGGAACACCGUGCUAAUUCCAUUAGAUGAGAA